rnacentral:rRNA from 1 species
UACGGGGGGAGCAAGCGUUGUUCGGAUUUACUGGGCGUAAAGGGCGCGUAGGCGGUCAGCACAAGUCAGUUGUGAAAUCUCCGGGCUUAACUCGGAAAGGUCAACCGAUACUGCGGGGCUAGAGUGCAGAAGGGGCAACUGGAAUUCUCGGUGUAGCGGUGAAAUGCGUAGAUAUCGAGAGGAACACCUGCGGCGAAGGCGGGUUGCUGGGCUGACACUGACGCUGAAGUGCGAAAGCUAGGGGAGCGAACGGG